rnacentral:tRNA from 1 species
GGGGUUGUGGCUCAGUGGUAGAGCACUCACCUAGCAUGUGUGAGGCUCUGGGUUCAAUCCUCAGCACCACA